rnacentral:rRNA from 1 species
GCAGUAGCCGCGGGAACACGGAGGGUGCAAGCGUUAAUCGGAAUUACUGGGCGUAAAGCGUGCGUAGGCGGUUCGUUAAGACAGAUGUGAAAUCCCCGGGCUUAACCUGGGAACUGCAUUUGUGACUGGCGAGCUAGAGUAUGGCAGAGGGGGGUAGAAUUCCACGUGUAGCAGUGAAAUGCGUAGAGAUGUGGAGGAAUACCGAUGGCGAAGGCAGCCCCCUGGGCCAAUACUGACGCUCAAGCACGAAAGCGUGGGGAGCAAACAGGAUUAGAGACCCGCGUAGUCCCUGUCUCUUAUAU